rnacentral:rRNA from 1 species
AAUGAACGCUGGCGGCGUGCCUAACACAUGCAAGUCGUACGAGAAAGGGGCUUCGGCCCUGAGUAGAGUGGCGCACGGGUGAGUAACGCGUGGGUAAUCUCCCCUUGGAUUUGGGAUAACUCUGCGAAAGUGGAGCUAAUACCGGAUGGUCUGGCUUUAAACAAUAAGUCGGUAAAGGAUGCCUCUGCAUAUGCAUUCGUCUAAGGAUGAGCACGCGUCUCAUUAGCUAGUUGGUAGGGUAAUGGCCUACCAAGGCAACGAUGAGUAGCUGGUCUGAGAGGAUGAUCAGCCACACUGGAACUGAAACACGGUCCAGACUCCUACGGGAGGCAGCAGUGGGGAAUAUUGCGCAAUGGGCGAAAGCCUGACGCAGCAACGCCGUGUGAGGGAUGAAGGCUUUCGGGUCGUAAACCUCUGUCGGAAGGGAAGAACGGGCAUUGGUCUAAUAGGCCUUUGUUUUGACGGUACCUUUAGAGGAAGCACCGGCUAACUCCGUGCCAGCAGCCGCGGUAAUACGGAGGGUGCAAGCGUUAUUCGGAAUUACUGGGCGUAAAGCGCACGUAGGCGGCCUUGUAAGUCAGGGGUGAAAUCCCACGGCUCAACCGUGGAACUGCCUUUGAAACUGCAGGGCUUGAAUCCUGGAGAGGGUGGCGGAAUUCCUGGUGUAGGAGUGAAAUCCGUAGAUAUCAGGAGGAACACCGGUGGCGAAGGCGGCCACCUGGACAGGUAUUGACGCUGAGGUGCGAAAGUGUGGGGAGCAAACAGGAUUAGAUACCCUGGUAGUCCACACCGUAAACGAUGGAUACUAGGUGUCGGGGACUUGAUCUUCGGUGCCGUAGCUAACGCGUUAAGUAUCCCGCCUGGGGAGUACGGUCGCAAGGCUGA